rnacentral:lncRNA from 1 species
GGACACUGAGAAUCCUUUUUUGCAUACGGAACUAAGGUUAUUGAUCUGUUGAAUUAAUAUAAAGCAAUGGCUGUAUGUUCUGAUCUUUUUAAAUGCUACGGAGUACAUUCCGCCUCGUUCAACAGAAUCUCAUGAACCUUCCCAGAAUUUCGUAUGCAACAGUUGAUCUAUUGCAGAACAAAAUUAUUGACUGCACAUAGCCUGUUGCUUCAACAUUCUACUCUUUGUAGAUCUCAUGUGGAGGUAAACAGAUGUUUUGACUUGACAAGAAUGAAGAACAUUGCAGAUUCAGAAAUUGAUCAGAGAUGCACAAGGACUAAAUCCAAUGACUCACUAGGAUAGGAUGGCAGAUCAUGCAAACUUCUACCCGAGAACAUCGCACGGUACCCGUUAUGCACCAAUGAAACAGAGCACUACCAAAUAUAAAGGGGAAAUCGAAGAAAAUAUAAAUGAGAAAUAAAAAAAUAACUUCUAAAGUGUGGUACCUAGUUAUCCGGGUGAAGUGGUACCAGGCGAAGAACAAAUGCAUGGACAGAGGACGGAUGGUGGGUGCUGCCGCACCACAGAGAGCUCAAGGAACCGAACAGUGUAUAGUUAGCUAAAUAAGCCAUUUGCAAGUUCAGACAUCAGGAUGACACAACAACAUAAGUUUAGUGUCCGACAUAGGACUUUACUCUUCUCGCUUCACCCUCCGGAAAUGCAUACAUUUUCAACUCAUUACAUACAUGCAAGCCAUAUUCAGGUCCACCUAUGCCUUCAUCUCUCCAUGAAUGGUGCUACCUAGAGACUUCAUUUGCCCUCAAUAACUGGUAAAAAGCAACGAAUGAAUAAAUUAAGAUGGAGGUAUUAUGUCAGUGAUGACAAUUAUGCAGAGCCCACUGCCGAUGCUACCAAGAGGCUAUUUGGCAUCAUGUCAAAUGAGAUGGUUCUCUCAGAAAAUGUUGACAUCGUCCAUCACAGGAAAACGGAUACUAGUGCACCGGAUCAUCAACCAUUACCACAAUAAUUUUUUUCCCGUUUUCCUCUUCAGCUAAACCUAUUUCGGUCCGAACUGUUUUACGGUACCCUGAAAUCAAUAUAGGUCGUCCAUUUACAUUGAUCCUAAGGCCCAGAUUGAUCUGCACUGGUCUCCCCACGUGAGCAGUAUAUACGGCAAAAUCGGAAAAGAAAAGAAAAACCUUUUAUCGUGGUCCGUGGCCCUUUCUAUUCAGGCCAACGGGCCCAACUGGCCCAACAAAGAACGGGGAGCGGUCGAGACACCAGAACUGGACCCUAUCGUCUCUCUCUGCUUGUUCGGCGACCACCUCCGCGUGGCCACGUUCUUUCGUCUUCCUCCGCGCAGGCCGGCAAGCUCGUGUGAGUGCGGUUGGAUUAUGCAGCGAAUGGACAUAUUUAUUUGGACCCAUUGGUGCUCCACGGACGAGACUGGUGGAAGAUUGAAGAUGGUGACCAAAAGUGGCGAAGAGAUAGGGGGCUUCUACUUGCAAAUCACCGGAGAUUGUUAUCAGUUUCUAAUAAAUUGUGACCAAACUUAAAAAUGUUUGUUUGGCAUCACAGGGGAUUUAUAAUUAAGUUGCAAAUUUUGUGUUCGAGAACAAUUAGAUGAAGACGUUGAUGCUUCAGAUAAUCAGAAGACGUAUCGAGUUCAAAUUAGGUGUGCGAACAGGGAGCGAGACGAGGGCCGUGACAACCGAUAAGAGUUUUCACCCGAGCGUUUACGGCAAGGAUUGUGCAACAAAUGGGCCGGAGAGAUCAGCCCAUUGCUUUGAAAGGUCUAUGCUGCCCCUGCCAAAUCAACGGUGGGAUAGCUCUAUACUGCUCUCCCCCCUCAACCAGUACAGAGGUACUGUAAAAAUGCUCUUCGGUCCAGACGCGGAGAAACUUAAAAGUCCAUAUUUGAUGAAGCAAACUUGAAUAAUAAGUUUUCUUCUUCUUCUGUAAAGGGCCAAUUAAUCAUGAAACUUUACUCUCUUGGAUUGUCUUCCGUGCCAUACUUCACUCAGUAAUGAGUAGAAUCACUCAAUUAUGUAAUGACUAAUACACAACGAGUUCUGAUAAAAAUAAAACCAUGUAAGUAUCAUCAGUAGUAAUAAGAAUGAAAUUCCUAUGUUAAUCGUAUUCGUAUCCAGCGGUCAGUAAAAAUCAUCACAUGCUUGUGGUUUAACUAUAGAAUAUUGUAUAAUCAGCUAACGUAAUCUACCAAGGUGAAAAUUAGAUUGAGGGCGAAGAUUUAUUAUGUCUCUCUGUACUUGUUUAACUGUUCCCUUGUCCAGCCAGCACUCCUGAGCCACGAUGGCACAUGGUUCUUUGUACACACAUCAAGCCAUUACAAUCCUCCAUUGAAACAUGCACCGGAAACUACAGGGAUUUGAUAUUUGGCCUGCAGCCCAGGUACUCACUCCGUCACAUACGAAGUGAUUUUCUAUUACAUGUAUCUAGACGCUUUUUAGGCAUAGAUACAUCCGAUUUGAACAAAUUCGAAUCACUUAAUAUGGGACGGAGGGAGUAUAUUAUGUAUACGGUGAAAUGCAGGCAUGCAAUACCGAGCCUAUAUGACUUUGACUCCAAACGUAUUUUUGCUUUGCUCCUUGAUUCCAAAAAGUUGAAAAUUCCAACCAUCAGAACAACAUUAGCUAGCUUUAAGACACUUUUUUUUGUCACGUCACUCUAUCCUAAAAGGUCUUGUCGAUUGAUUGUAAUUAUAUUACACGAUCGCAUCCUCUUGAAUCCUCAGCGUUAUGUGCAAUUUGAGUACAUUUUCAAUUGGUAGUUGGUUAUGAAGUACAAAUAUGAUGCUGUUAGUCAGCAAGUGCUGGGCGAAUUUGCUGUAUCGAUGCCACCUCUGUACUUGUUGAAGUCGUUGCCGACAUCGAUAAUCGUCGUACACGACAGUGCGCAGCUCGACCUCCUUGUUCGGAAGAGACCGUUGACGGUGGUGAGGGGUCCCGACAGGCGCCCUUCCUCCCCACGUAAGGGUAGGCACAGGGACGGAUUUAAGGGGGCUUUGCCGCCCCGCCCCCCCCCCCCCCCCCACCCCACAAUAAUUGUGUUUCAAAGGGUAACUUAGUGCUUUUUUAGAGUAAAUAAACUUGCAAAAAAAACUAGGGUCUAUGUUUAAUCGCCCCCUCCAAUCUUCGAUAUUCAAUUUUCGCUCCCCUCAUAAGCACAUCCUGGCUCCGUCAUCCCUGGGUAGGCAGUGUCCAGCGCGAGCCUGGCUGCUGUAGUUAUCGACCUACAAGAUUACCAUGAGCCAAGGCCGUUGGGGUCGCAGUCCAGGAUCUACUGCACAGAGCUGGAGAUCAACUCGCCCCUGUGGCAGUGAAUGCCCAGCAGGCUCCGCAAUUGGAGCCCUGAUCCUUGACGGAGGUGACGAGUGAUGGCCGCAGAUCAUAUCGAGUCCGACGCCAGUCGACGGCCUAACUUGUGGAACUCUGUGGCGACGACGGGUUGUGGCACGUCGACGGCGCCGAUCGAGAGUGAAGUUAUCUGGGAGGUCGGUUCCGAGCACAUGUACGUCCCGUCCAGCUCGAUCCUCUGGGAUACUGAGGUCUCCGAGGAAGUUCAUUGCCGGCCAACUGGAACAAGGGUCGUGCUGCCUGCCGGAGGACAACGGACGCUGUCCUUGAACACCUGGAAGCUAGUGCCUAUCGUCGACGCCUCGUGGUCCGCGUACUGCGCCAGGCAGCGCACGUAUAGGGACCGCAGAGCCUCCGAUCCUCCGUGGUGGCCCUGUUUGUUUGAGCUUCUGCUUCAGCUUUUGCUGUUUUUAGUUUUCUAAAAAGCACUUCUCCCAUUUACACAUGAAGCUGAGAAGCACGUCCCCCGGAGGUGCUUUCUGCAGCUUCUGGUGUAAACGAAAGAAAUACUUUUUAGAGAGCUAGAAACACAACAAACUGAAACAGAAGUCCAAACAAACAGGGCUAUAGUUUGAGCUUCUGCUUUUAUAGAUGCUCCUCAUCAGCCCUGCUCCUGCUCGAUCGGCUUUUAUAGGCGAGCUGCCAGGAUGAACAGAGAGCGACUUGUCUGACCGUCAACCAACAAGGCAGAGCUCCAUUUUCUCGCUAAACCACCGUGCGACCAAAACCCAAGAUUCCUUGAGAAUGCUUGGAAAAAAUUCCUGAUCUGUUGACAACAUUGGACACUGAGAAUCCUUUUUUGCAUACGGAACUAAAGUUAUGGAUCUGUUGAAUUAAUAUGAAUGCUUAUCCCCUCCUUUUCGGGAAAACAAAUGAUUGCCUAUGAUGUCUUGUAUAAAGAAGAUGGAAGUAUCUUGUGAUUCUGAACUUGCAGUGGGCAGUCGUCAACAAGUUUCUCACGUGAAUGUGCAGUAGAGACUAGAGAGUCGUCAACAAGUGCAGUAGAGAAAUAUUGAAAUAUGCCUAAAAUAUAUGACCAAUGCAUAAAAUAAGUGUCGCUGAUUUAGUACAAAUGAUGGACUAGCCAUCACCUAUCACCUAUUUAGUAUUUACCAAGCUAGUAGUGCAAACCAAGAAACCCAAUUUCCAGCAAGACACCCAUUUGGGAAUUGGGAGGAAGAUUUGACGCCUUUCCCUACCAUUAGGGAAUUGGGAGGAAGAUUUUGCACAAGGUCGAUUUUCGUCGACACCAGUUUCAAAAGGAAUACGAUGUGCUUUCUAAGUUCGAACUGCAAAUUUGCAGUAAUACUGACAAUUCUUUUACAUCCGUCCUCACAUAUAUACGUAUGUUAUGAUCUUUUUAAAUGCUACGGAGUACAUUCUGCCUCAUUCCACAGAUCCAGGAAUCUAAUGAACCUUCCCAGAAUUUCAUAUGCAACAGUUGUUCUAUUGCAGAACAAAAUAGUAAACUGCAUAUAGGCUGUUGCUUCAACAUUCUACUCUUUGUAGAUCUCAUGUGGAGGUAAACAGAUGUUGAGUUUUGACUUGACAAGCAUGAAUAACAUUGCAGAUUCAGAAAUUGAUCAGAAAUGCACAAGGACUAAAUCCAAUGACUCACUAGGAUAGGAUGGCAGAUCAUGCAAAUAAGUAUAUCAGGUAUCAAACACAAGGUGUCCGAGCAGUCCA